ACACUGUUGGUGAAGUGGUUAUCAUGCUUGCCUUCCAUGUGAUAGUUGGGUGAUAUGAGCAAGCGGCUCGGGUUCGAUUCCCGAACGGUGUA